GCACUGAUGAGGAGUCCGACAAUAGAACGAAACAGCCGUCCAGUGC
rnacentral:hammerhead_ribozyme from 1 species